rnacentral:rRNA from 1 species
GACGAAGGGGGCUAGCGUUGUUCGGAAUUACUGGGCGUAAAGCGCGUGUAGGCGGUUGGUCAAGUCAGGGGUGAAAGCCUUGAGCUCAACUCCAGAAAUGCACUUGAUACUGGGCGACUAGAGGACCGGAGAGGAUAGUGGAAUUCCCAGUGUAGUGGUGAAAUACGUAGAGAUUGGGAAGAACACCAGUGGCGAAGGCGGCUAUCUGGACGGUUACUGACGCUAAGACGCGAAAGCGUGGGGAGCAAACAGG